rnacentral:rRNA from 1 species
GACGAACGCUGGCGGCGUGCUUAACACAUGCAAGUCGAACGAAGUGGCGAACGGGUGAGUAACGCGUAAUCAACCUGCCCUUCAGAGGGGGACAACAGUUGGAAACGACUGCUAAUACCGCAUACUGAAGGAGGGGAUGGCGUCUGAUUAGCUAGGUGGGGGGGUAACGGCCCACCAAGGCGAAGAUCAGGAGCCGGUCUGAGAAGAUGAACGGCCACAUUGGGACUGAGACAAGGCCCAGCAUCCUACGGGAGGCAGCAAUGGGGAAUCUUCCGACAUGGACGGAAGUCUGACGGAGCACCGCCGCGUGAGUGAUGACGGCCUUCGGGUUGUAAAGCUCUGUUAAUCGGGACGCGGUACCGGAAUAGAAAGCCACGGCUAACUACGUGCCAGCAGCCGCGGUAAUAC